UUACCAGGUGUGAGGAUCGAACUCACGUCUCCUUACAGAGACCAGAACUUAAGUCUGGCGCCUUAACCACUCGGCCAACCUGGUGUGAGGAUCGAACUCACGUCUCUUCAUCAGAGACCAGAACUUAAGUCUGGCGCCUUAACCACUCGGCCAACCUGGUGUGAGGAUCGAACUCACGUCUCUUUACAGAGACCAGAACUUAAGUCUGGCGCCUUAACCACUCGGCCAACCUGGUGUGAGGUUCGAACUCACGUCUCUAUACAGAGACCAGAACUUAAGUCUGGCGCCUUAACCACUCGGCCAACCU